ensembl:lncRNA
AUGUGCUGGGGUGGGUCACUGGGGCACUGUGCAACUGAGCAUGAGCAGAGGCUUACCCUCUUCCACAGGAGGCUUCCAUGGACAUUGCCACUUGCUGGGGAUGAUCACCCCGUGGAAACCUAUUUGUCCUCCCUGGCUAACACAAAGGAGUGCCCACGUGUAAACUCCCCACACAACAUCGGGAGCAGUCUGCCGCGAAUAGCCUUACACAAAUGCACUUCAAGAACUUGGGUUUUGUGAUGUAGAGAGUCGAGCAGUGUUCUCAAAGAUGUGGACAUUGUUUACAUUCCAAGUAUGUGAAAAUGUCCAUGUGUUGUUGUUGAGUAUGUGUGUGUAAUUUUUGGAUUUUAUUUGUAGUAUCAGUAUGCAAAUAUAUUUAUUAUAAGUGGAAUCUCACUGAAAUGAAAAUGAAAAGGCAAUACUAUCUUUUAAUAUGGUUCACUAACCUUGUUCACACUGAGUUACUGAUGCUCAGUAGGAGUUUGCCAACACCAGCUCUACUCAACCCUUGAUGAAUAUGGAGGAUUUAAUUAAAAUUGAAAAUGUAAAAGAAAAAAGAGAGACCAAAUCUAAUCCAAAAAUCUAUUUUGCAUAGAAUUUAAUAACAGAUAAAAGCUUAAAAUUCUAUAACUAACAAAUGAGAAAUAUCAGCACUAGGAAAUAAGACUUUAGUUUCUAGGAUCAAUCCCACUACCUGUGUAGAUGCAUCCUGACCUGGCUUGUUUCAUCAACUCAUGACAAAGACAUUGGUCUCACACUGAGGUAUGGUAAAUACAUUAUAAAGUAAACCCAGACAUUUUAAACGGGACAAACACUGAGAGGCAAAGGCACAAACAAAGCUAUAAGCAAACAGCUUCUCCCUCUCUUGUAUUUAGGCAGAAUUCCCUCGAACCAGAGUCACUGGUUUUUAGAUUCUUGUUCUUCCCCACCCCCUGAGAUGGAGUCUUGCUCUGUCAUCCAGGCUGGAGUGCAGGGUCACAAUCUCGGCUCACUGCAACCUCCACCUCCAGGGUUAAGCUAUUCUUCUGCCUCAGCCUCCCGAGUAGCUGGGAUUACAGGCAUGCACCACCACACUGGGUGAUUUUUGUAUUCUUAGUAGAGACAAGGUUUCACCAUGCUGUCUUAAACUCUUGCCCUCAUGAUCUGCCCACCUUGGCCUCCCAAAGUACUGGGAUUACAGGUGUGAGCAUGCCCGACCCAGAUUCCUGCUCUUGUGCCUGCUGAGAAAUGUAUGGGUAAUAGCCUUCAGUGGUUGCUCAUGAAGUUAAAACAGCUCAGGAAUGGUUUAUUUCUCAGAUGGUUCUUCUGUAUUUUCCAUGCACACCAACAGAAAAAUCACAGGAAAGAGUCAGUGAAGUUUUCUGCAUUUCCUUGUUUAGCUUGAAUCCCCGCAGUGGGGCUCAGGAGCAUGGACCUGUCCUCUGUUUUAUUCAUAAUAUGAACCUCCUGAUACAGCGAAAGUUAAGCAAAUAUUGUUUACAGUGUGGUGUGUGUUUCCAUUAUAUUUUCUUGAUGCAGCAAUCUGGGUUCUGAGAAAGCUGACUUUUUAGUUGUUGUUUUAAGCAUGCACAGUGAUAAC